GAACGCACCUUGCGCCCUUUGGCUAUUCCGAAGGGCAUGCCUGUUUGAGUAUCAUGAACACCUCAACUCUCGUGGUUUGCGCUACGAUGAGCUUGGACUUUGGGGGUCUUGCUGGCCUGUGGUCGGCUCCUCUCAAAUGAAUCAGCUUCCCAGUGUUUGGUGGCGUCGCAGGUGUGAUAACUAUCUACGCUUGUGGUUUUCCACCAGAUAACCUUCAGUGAUGGAGGUUCGCUGGGGCUCAUAAACGUCUUUCCUCAGUGAAGACAGCUUUUUGAACGUUUGAUCUCAAAUCAGGUAGGACUACCCGCUGAACUUAAG
rnacentral:misc_RNA from 1 species